CAGUCGAACGGACUCAUAUUGAAACCUAGUGAUGUAUGAGUUAGUGGCGGACGGGUGAGUAACGCGUGGAGAACCUGCCGUAUACUGGGGGAUAACACUUAGAAAUAGGUGCUAAUACCGCAUAAGCGCACAGCUUCGCAUGAAGCAGUGUGAAAAACUCCGGUGGUAUACGAUGGAUCCGCGUCUGAUUAGCUUGUUGGCGGGGUAAAGGCCCACCAAGGCGACGAUCAGUAGCCGGCCUGAGAGGGUGAACGGCCACAUUGGGACUGAGACACGGCCCAAACUCCUACGGGAGGCAGCAGUGGGGAAUAUUGCACAAUGGGGGAAACCCUGAUGCAGCGACGCCGCGUGAGUGAAGAAGUAUUUCGGUACGUAAAGCUCUAUCAGCAGGGAAGAAAAUGACGGUACCUGACUAAGAAGCCCCGGCUAACUACGUGCCAGCAGCCGCGGUAAUACGUAGGGGGCAAGCGUUAUCCGGAUUUACUGGGCGUAAAGGGAGCGUAGACGGCAGCGCAAGUCUGGAGUGACAUCCCAUGGCUUAACCAUGGAACUGCUUUGGAAACUGUGCAGCUGGAGUGCAGGAGAGGUAAGCGGAAUUCCUAGUGUAGCGGUGAAAUGCGUAGAUAUUAGGAGGAACACCAGUGGCGAAGGCGGCUUACUGGACUGUAACUGACGUUGAGGCUCGAAAGCGUGGGGAGCAAACAGGAUUAGAUACCCUGGUAGUCCACGCUGUAAACGAUGAUUACUAGGUGUUGGGGGACCAAGGUCCUUCGGUGCCGUCGCAA
rnacentral:rRNA from 1 species